GUUAUAUGGUCAAGUGAAGAAGCGCAUACGGUGGAUGCCUUGGCAGUCAGAGGCGAUGAAAGACGUGGUAGCCUGCGAAAAGCUUCGGGGAGUCGGCAAACAGACUGUGAUCCGGAGAUGUCUGAAUGGGGGAACCCAGCCAUCAUAAGAUGGUUAUAUUGUACUGAAUACAUAGGUGCAAGAGGCGAACCAGGGGAACUGAAACAUCUAAGUACCCUGAGGAAAAGAAAUCAACCGAGAUUCCCUUAGUAGUGGCGAGCGAACGGGGACCAGCCCUUAAGUUGUAUUGAGAUUAGCGGAACACUCUGGAAAGGGUGGCCAUAGUGGGUGAUAGCCCUGUACGCGAAAAUCCCUUUGCAAUGAAAUCGAGUAGGACGGGGCACGAGAAACCUUGUCUGAAUAUGGGGGGACCAUCCUCCAAGGCUAAAUACUACUGACUGACCGAUAGUGAACCAGUACCGUGAGGGAAAGGCGAAAAGAACCGCGGAGAGCGGAGUGAAAUAGAUCCUGAAACCGUAUGCGUACAAGCAGUGGGAGCCCACUUUGUUGGGUGACUGCGUACCUUUUGUAUAAUGGGUCAGCGACUUAUUUUCAGUGGCGAGCUUAACCGAAUAGGGGAGGCGUAGCGAAAGCGAGUCUUAAUAGGGCGUCUAGUCGCUGGGAAUAGACCCGAAACCGGGCGAUCUAUCCAUGGGCAGGUUGAAGGUUGGGUAACACUAACUGGAGGACCGAACCGACUACCGUUGAAAAGUUAGCGGAUGACCUGUGGAUCGGAGUGAAAGGCUAAUCAAGCUCGGAGAUAGCUGGUUCUCCUCGAAAGCUAUUUAGGUAGCGCCUCAUGUAUCACUGUAGGGGGUAGAGCACUGUUUCGGCUAGGGGGUCAUCCCGACUUACCAAACCGAUGCAAACUCCGAAUACCUACAAGUGCCGAGCAUGGGAGACACACGGCGGGUGCUAACGUCCGUCGUGAAAAGGGAAACAACCCAGACCGUCAGCUAAGGUCCCAAAGUCAUGGUUAAGUGGGAAACGAUGUGGGAAGGCUUAGACAGCUAGGAGGUUGGCUUAGAAGCAGCCACCCUUUAAAGAAAGCGUAAUAGCUCACUAGUCGAGUCGGCCUGCGCGGAAGAUGUAACGGGGCUCAAACCAUGCACCGAAGCUACGGGUAUCAUCUUUUGAUGAUGCGGUAGAGGAGCGUUCUGUAAGCCUGUGAAGGUGAGUUGAGAAGCUUGCUGGAGGUAUCAGAAGUGCGAAUGCUGACAUGAGUAACGACAAUGGGUGUGAAAAACACCCACGCCGAAAGACCAAGGUUUCCUGCGCAACGUUAAUCGACGCAGGGUUAGUCGGUCCCUAAGGCGAGGCUGAAAAGCGUAGUCGAUGGAAAACAGGUUAAUAUUCCUGUACUUCUGGUUAUUGCGAUGGAGGGACGGAGAAGGCUAGGCCAGCCUGGCGUUGGUUGUCCAGGUUUAAGGUGGUAGGCUGAGAUCUUAGGUAAAUCCGGGAUCUUAAGGCCGAGAGCUGAUGACGAGUGUUCUUUUAGAACACGAAGUGGUUGAUGCCAUGCUUCCAAGAAAAGCUUCUAAGCUUCAGGUAACCAGGAACCGUACCCCAAACCGACACAGGUGGUUGGGUAGAGAAUACCAAGGCGCUUGAGAGAACUCGGGUGAAGGAACUAGGCAAAAUGGCACCGUAACUUCGGGAGAAGGUGCGCCGGUGAGGGUGAAGCAUUUACUGCGUAAGCUCAUGCCGGUCGAAGAUACCAGGCCGCUGCGACUGUUUAUUAAAAACACAGCACUCUGCAAACACGAAAGUGGACGUAUAGGGUGUGACGCCUGCCCGGUGCCGGAAGGUUAAUUGAUGGGGUUAGCGCAAGCGAAGCUCUUGAUCGAAGCCCCGGUAAACGGCGGCCGUAACUAUAACGGUCCUAAGGUAGCGAAAUUCCUUGUCGGGUAAGUUCCGACCUGCACGAAUGGCGUAACGAUGGCGGCGCUGUCUCCACCCGAGACUCAGUGAAAUUGAAAUCGCUGUGAAGAUGCAGUGUAUCCGCGGCUAGACGGAAAGACCCCGUGAACCUUUACUAUAGCUUUGCACUGGACUUUGAAUUUGCUUGUGUAGGAUAGGUGGGAGGCUUUGAAGCGUGGACGCCAGUCUGCGUGGAGCCAACCUUGAAAUACCACCCUGGCAACUUUGAGGUUCUAACUCAGGUCCGUUAUCCGGAUCGAGGACAGUGUAUGGUGGGUAGUUUGACUGGGGCGGUCUCCUCCUAAAGAGUAACGGAGGAGUACGAAGGUGCGCUCAGACCGGUCGGAAAUCGGUCGUAGAGUAUAAAGGCAAAAGCGCGCUUGACUGCGAGACAGACACGUCGAGCAGGUACGAAAGUAGGUCUUAGUGAUCCGGUGGUUCUGUAUGGAAGGGCCAUCGCUCAACGGAUAAAAGGUACUCCGGGGAUAACAGGCUGAUACCGCCCAAGAGUUCAUAUCGACGGCGGUGUUUGGCACCUCGAUGUCGGCUCAUCACAUCCUGGGGCUGAAGCCGGUCCCAAGGGUAUGGCUGUUCGCCAUUUAAAGUGGUACGCGAGCUGGGUUUAGAACGUCGUGAGACAGUUCGGUCCCUAUCUGCCGUGGACGUUUGAGAUUUGAGAGGGGCUGCUCCUAGUACGAGAGGACCGGAGUGGACGAACCUCUGGUGUUCCGGUUGUCACGCCAGUGGCAUUGCCGGGUAGCUAUGUUCGGAAAAGAUAACCGCUGAAAGCAUCUAAGCGGGAAACUUGCCUCAAGAUGAGAUCUCACUGGAACCUUGAGUUCCCUAAAGGGCCGUCGAAGACUACGACGUUGAUAGGUUGGGUGUGUAAGCGCUGUGAGGCGUUGAGCUAACCAAUACUAAUUGCCCGUGAGGCUUGACCAUAUAACACCCAAGCAAUU
rnacentral:rRNA from 1 species